CUAACCGCAAAAUCCCCGACGAGCGAGCUGGAGUUUUCCACUAGAAAUGUGCCAACCCCGUCGCCGCCCGCGUCCGUCCUCCUCCCAUUCCGCUUCCGCUUCCCCCAAACCCCCCAGACCUGACGCGUUGGAGCGCCGAUUCGCGGCUCGCGGCUGCUUGAUUCGACCGGGCUCGUCGUCCCCGCCGGUGGUCCACGGGGGAUGGGGUACCUGAGCACCGUGAUCGGCCACCCCACCGAUGGAUCGCCCGUCAGCGGCGGCGGCCUCAGCCAGAAUGGUAAAUUUAGCUAUGGUUAUGCAAGCUCCCCUUGUAAAAGGGCUUCCAUGGAAGACUUCUAUGAAACAAAGAUUGACUGUGUUGAUGGUCAGAUAGUUGGCCUUUUUGGAGUUUUUGACGGUCAUGGCGGUGCUAAAGUAGCAGAGUAUGUUAAAGAAAACCUGUCCAGCCAUCUUCUUAGGCACCCAAAGUUCAUGAGUGAUACCAAAGUCGCUAUAGAUGAUGCUUAUAAAAGCACCGACAGUGAAUUCUUAGAAUCUGACAGUAGUCAAAAUCAAUGUGGUUCGACUGCAUCAACUGCUGUUCUUGUCGGUGAUCGUCUCUUUGUCGCAAAUGUCGGGGACUCUAGGGCUAUCAUAUGCAGGGGUGGAAAUGCUGUUGCUGUUUCAAAAGAUCACAAGCCUGAUCAGACAGAUGAGCGGCAACGUAUUGAAGAUGCUGGAGGUUUUGUGAUGUGGGCAGGAACAUGGCGUGUUGGUGGCGUACUUGCAGUUUCACGCGCAUUUGGUGACAAACUCUUAAAGCAAUAUGUAGUUGUGGAUCCAGAGAUCCGAGAGGAAGUUGUCGAUGAGACACUUGAGUUUCUCAUCCUUGCAAGUGAUGGGCUGUGGGAUGUGGUCUCUAAUGAGGAAGCUGUCGCCCUGACCAGAUCCAUUCAGGACCCGGAAGAAGCUGCAAAGAAGCUCCUGCAAGAGGCCUACAAGAGGGAGAGCAGUGACAACAUAACCUGUGUCGUUUGGAUGUCAGGUCUGACGAUAGUGUUGUAUUGUUCUGUAUGCUGCAAUGUGGAUUGCAGCUGCCCUUCUGUCGCCGCGCUGAGCUGCGAGGUGCUGGGCGCGGCGGCGUUGCGGUCCAUGGAGGCCGGCGAGGUGCUGGCGUCCGACAGUGGUAUUGCCAGCGGCUUGGCGAGGGGGGCUGGGGAGUGGAAGCCAGCUAGUGACCGAUGCUGCCUGUAAUUCUAUAAUGGAUCUCUCGGUGUCUUCUCUUGGUAGGGAGCACCUUGCAGGCUCACCUGUUCUGCCGAGGAUAUUGCAUGUAUUUUGUCAGGUGGGAUCUAUUUGUGAAUUUGUCGAUAGCAGGACAAUCAGACACCUAAAAAAAGACACAGAAGCAAAUAAAAUAUCGUACUUCAUCAUUGACACAGUGGUCCUUCUGGUGAGUUCCUGUAAAGUUGAAAAAAUGCAAAGUAUGCAGCAAGAGCUGGUAAGGAGCACUCUGUCUUUGUUAUAUAAAGUAUGGAAGAAAGUCAAACUCUUGAGAUCAUCAGCUGAUUGCACCAACAGGAAGAAUCAACUUCAAAGUAGAGAAUAUGAAAUAUCUAAAGCUAUUUUUAAUCUUUCAAUUGAUCUUGCUUCUCCAGCCUGCCUAGAGCCUGAUGUGGUCAGGAAAUGUAUUUUUGGCCAAGCAGAGUCCAAGUUCGAAAAUUUUAUCCUGGCCUACUGGGAAAAAUCACCUAAUUUGUACAGGAGGAAACAAAACACUCAAAAUGAUGAUCCUAUCUCUGCAGCCUUGAAUAGUGUUUUUAAUCUUGGUACAGCACCUGAUGCUAUAAUUGAAUCAUUUGUAAAGGGGCUUGUUUCUUGCCCUGCUAUUGCUUCAGAUGAACUUGAUAUAAAUUCAUUUCUCCAUGAAGUUCAUGAUUCCUUGGGUGAUGCCAUAAAGUACAGGCAAGACAUUAGAGUUUUGAGAACAGAAGGCCCAAGUGAUCAAACCUCAAGGGUAUGUGUGAGGGAGGAGCAUUUUUUUGAUGAUGGAACAGUCUUCCUGGAUGAAGAUGCAUUCGCAGAAAAAUGUAAGCAUGCAUUUAAGAAUGGCUAUUCAAUUGCGCUGCGUGGCAUGGAGUUCCGGUCCGAAAAGGUUGCUGCUAUAGCUUCUGCCCUGGCUGAUCUAUUUGGCCAACCUUCUGUAGGAGCUAACAUAUACUUCUCUCCUCCAAGGUCUCAAGGCCUAGCCCGACAUUAUGAUGAUCACUGUGUACUUGUUUGGCAGCUGCUUGGUUGCAAGAAAUGGAUGAUUUGGCCUAAUCCAAAGCCACUUUUGCCUAGACUAUAUGAGCCUUUUGAUCCUCUAGAUUGUACUUUAGAUGAUAACAGUGGAAGAGUGGAGGUGUUACAUGAAGGAGACAUGAUGUACAUUCCUAGAGGUUAUGUCCACGAGGCUCACACUGAUGUUGGUGAAUCUCAAAUGAAUGCAUAUGCUGGUUAUUCACUCAUUUGACGCUUGCUAUUGAGGUUGAGCCACCCUUUGAGUGGGAAGGAUUUGCACAUAUUGCACUUCAUUGUUGGGUGGAGAAGCAGAAGCUUAGAGGGUCUCAAUUUGACAGGUCCAGAGCAAAAGAGGAAACUUCGCUAUUUCCUCUUGUGUUGCAUGUGGCCAUCAGGUUGCUCUCCAACAAUGAUCCUAUUUUCAGGAAGGCAUGCAUAGUUGCAGCAAAGCUUCCAUCUUCCAGUUCCUGCACAACGGCACACUUGAAGGCUCUUAGAAGCAGCCAGAGAUCAACUUUUGAUGAGAUAAUUAGGAGCAUGGAGAAGAACUGCAGCUUCAAGGAAGCAUGGAGAAGCAUCGAGUUGGCAGUGCAAGAAAAUAAUGAUGAACCGUUCCAGUGGAUGAGCUGGCUCCGGCACUUGCCACAAGAAGGAGAUGCAGACUUGAGAAUCGAUUUCUGCAACAUCUUGGAGGCCCUUGAAGAGCCGAUUGGGGCGUUCAGCUCUAACCCUGAGCAAGCCUUGGUUGGCUUCACAGGCUUCAAGUCAAGGUUCUGCAGGUACGUCGUGUACGAGGACGCCUGUGAGAGCUUUGAGACUUUGCUUCAGAUGUAUAGAACAACCAGGAAUCAGUACAUGAGGGGAAUGCUGGCGUUGCACGGGGCAUACGUGAGUUGAGUACUGGAUAAUCCCACUUAAGUCUUGACAGGGAAGUUUUUGGGGGUGGUUAUCUAGUCAUUUUUCCUACUGUCGAGAAAAAAAAACUAACGGGGCACAUGUACGGUUGUAUUGUACCACACUCAAUCAUUUCGCGGACCUUUAGUUGCUGGUCAGAUUAGCAGUUGUUAUUUUCAGCAAAACAAAACAAAAGAUCAGCAGUUGUUUGUCAA